CAGUAGCCGCGGGAAUACCGAGGAUGCAAGCGUUAUCCGGAAUGAUUGGGCGUAAAGCGUCUGUAGGUGGCUUUUCAAGUCCGCCGUCAAAUCCCAGGGCUCAACCCUGGACAGGCGGUGGAAACUACCAAGCUAGAGUACGGUAGGGGCAGAGGGAAUUUCCGGUGGAGCGGUGAAAUGCGUUGAGAUCGAAAAGAACACCAACGACGAAAGCACUCUGCUGGGUCGACACUGACACUGAGAGACGAAAGCUAGGGGAGCAAAUGGGAUUAGAUACCCCUGUAUCCCUGUCUCUUAUACA
rnacentral:rRNA from 1 species